UCAGAGUAUUUUACCUCUCAGCGUAAUGUGUAGUUAAGUUUUACCAGACACUGGCGUAGUACUAGUAGUGUUAGUGUUCAUAGCACUCAUACCACUGCUACUCCCUGGCUGUGGUGGGGGGGAAGACGAAAACGAUGCAUUAUAACGCGAAUGUGUUGCAAUGGCUGGUUUCGGUGUUUCUGGCAAUGUCGGUUUCACUCCAUACAUCGUAGACACAGUUGAUUCUUCACCAAGUAACGAAUCUGAGCAUCUUGAGCAGUAAACACAGUUAGCAAACGAUGCACAACAUACACAUUCGCCAUCCAUUUCACUUGCGAGAAACGAUCGAACACACAUCGUAUUAUCAUUAAGAAAGUUUUUCAUCGAAUCCUCCACGUAGCUCGACCAUGUAGAAUCAUAUUUCUCGUAAAACAAUGCUGCAAUCGCAUACUUGCCAUCUCUUCCAGCUCGACCUGUCUCCUGUACAUAAUCCAUAGAUGAAGCUGGUAAUCUAUAGUGUACUACUAAACGCACUCCCAUAUAGUUGAUACCGAGUCCAAAUCCCUUGCUAAGCGAUCAUGAUUCGUGUCUUUCCAUUUGCGUUCUCCAAUUGAUCAACUCGCUUGAUGAAUGGGUGCUUUGUUUCUACCAACAAUCCAUGGGUCGGGUUGUCUCGAAUCUGCAAUAGUUCCUGCCACUUAUAGCUUGCACGAAAAAAGUUGACGAAAUAAUCCGAUGGCAGAUAAUGCAAGUUGUCCAUAGUGCGUCCAUAGAUGUAGAGCGCUGUGUUUCGUGUAUGUUCAGCCUGUAAAUCGAAAUAAGAUUCUCUCGUCAUGUCUUUCUCGAUGUUCUUUUUCUUUAAAGUAGUGAGCAAUGUGUCUGUAGUUUUGAAAUCCCAACGGUUUCUGAAUGCAUUGGUAGAUGGCCUUUGAAAAAAUUCGAUACGGUAAAUCUCUUUGCAAUCGUUCGCCAACAAUCACAAACAUGAAAUCCAAGUGUGCAUGCAGCUACUUUCGACCUAUCAGCGGUUGUCACAUACUUCAUCAAUGCUUCUAAUGGUCGAACCAAAACAUA